rnacentral:rRNA from 1 species
AUUGAACGCUGGCGGCAUGCCUUACACAUGCAAGUCGAACGGCAGCACGGGAGCAAUCCUGGUGGCGAGUGGCGAACGGGUGAGUAAUAUAUCGGAACGUGCCCAGUCGUGGGGAUAACGUAGCGAAAGCUACGCUAAUACCGCAUACGAUCUAUGGAUGAAAGCGGGGGGAUCGCAAGACCUCGCGCGAUUGGAGCGGCCGAUAUCAGAUUAGGUAGUUGGUGAGGUAAAGGCUCACCAAGCCGACGAUCUGUAGCUGGUCUGAGAGGACGACCAGCCACACUGGGACUGAGACACGGCCCAGACUCCUACGGGAGGCAGCAGUGGGGAAUUUUUGGACAAUGGGCGCAAGCCUGAUCCAGCAAUGCCGCGUCGCAGGAUGAA